rnacentral:precursor_RNA from 12 species
CUCCUGUUCUGUGACCUCCAGGUGCCCGACUGUGUGGAGGUAAGGAACUACGCCGUGUUCUCUCUUUCGGUAAAUCCUUACCUCUCACUGUUGGACAUCUAGGACUCUGCGACCAUCCCUA